rnacentral:rRNA from 1 species
UUCGCCCUUAGAGUUUGAUCCUGGCUCAGGAUGAACGCUGGCGGCGUGCCUAACACAUGCAAGUCGAACGAAGCUCCUGCGACAUAUUCCUUCGGGAUGAAGAUGCUUGAGACUUAGUGGCGGACGGGUGAGUAACGCGUGGGUAACCUGCCCUGUGCUGGGGGACAACAGUUAGAAAUGACUGCUAAUACCGCAUAAACCUACGGAGUCGCAUGGCUCAGUAGGAAAAAUUCCGGUGGUACAGGAUGGGCCCGCGUCUGAUUAGCUAGUUGGUGAGGUAAUGGCUCACCAAGGCGACGAUCAGUAGCCGGCUUGAGAGAAUGAACGGCCACAUUGGGACUGAGACACGGCCCAAACUCCUACGGGAGGCAGCAGUGGGGAAUAUUGCACAAUGGGGGAAACCCUGAUGCAGCAACGCCGCGUGAGUGAAGAAGUAUUUCGGUAUGUAAAGCUCUAUCAGCAGGGAAGAAAAUGACGGUACCUGACUAAGAAGCUCCGGCUAAAUACGUGCCAGCAGCCGCGGUAAUACGUAUGGUGCAAGCGUUAUCCGGAUUUACUGGGUGUAAAGGGUGCGUAGGCGGAUUGGCAAGUCAGAAGUGAAAUCCAUGGGCUUAACCCAUGAACUGCUUUUGAAACUGUUAGUCUUGAGUGAAGUAGAGGUAGGCGGAAUUCCCGGUGUAGCGGUGAAAUGCGUAGAGAUCGGGAGGAACACCAGUGGCGAAGGCGGCCUACUGGGCUUUAACUGACGCUGAGGCACGAAAGUGUGGGUAGCAAACAGGAUUAGAUACCCUGGUAGUCCACACUGUAAACGAUGAUUACUAGGUGUGGGGGGUCUAACCCCCUCCGUGCCGGAGUUAACACAAUAAGUAAUCCACCUGGGGAGUACGACCGCAAGGUUGAAGCUCAAAGGAAUUGACGGGGGCCCGCACAAGCAGUGGAGUAUGUGGUUUAAUUAGACGCAACGCGAAGAACCUUACCAAGUCUUGACAUCCCUUGACGAUGCUGGAAACAGUAUUUCUCUUCGGAGCAAGGAGACAGGUGGUGCAUGGUUGUCGUCAGCUCGUGUCGUGAGAUGUUGGGUUAAGUCCCGCAACGAGCGCAACCCUUAUGGUCAGUUACUACGCAAGAGGACUUUGGCCAGACUGCCGUUGACAAAACGGAGGAAGGUGGGGAUGACGUCAAAUCAUCAUGCCCCUUAUGACUUGGGCUACACACGUACUACAAUGGCGUUAAACAAAGAGAAGCAAGCCCGCGAGGUGGAGCAAAACUCAGAAACAACGUCCCAGUUCGGACUGCAGGCUGCAACUCGCCUGCACGAAGUCGGAAUUGCUAGUAAUCGUGGAUCAGCAUGCCACGGUGAAUACGUUCCCGGGCCUUGUACACACCGCCCGUCA